rnacentral:rRNA from 1 species
GUCGAGAAUCUUUCACAAUGGGGGCAACCCUGAUGGAGCGACGCCGCGUGGAGGAUAAGGUCUUCGGAUUGUAAACUCCUGUCAUGCGUGAACAAGGUUGCUUGGUUAAUACCUGGGCAAAUUGAUGGUAACGCAAGAGGAAGAGACGGCUAACUCUGUGCCAGCAGCCGCGGUAAUACAGAGGUCUCAAGCGUUGUUCGGAAUCACUGGGCGUAAAGGGUGCGUAGGUGGCGUGGUAAGUCAGAUGUGAAAGCCCGGGGCUCAACCUCGGAACUGCAUACGAUACUGCCAUGCUAGAGUACUGGAGAGGUGACUAGAAUUCUCGGUGUAGCAGUGAAAUGCGUAGAUAUCGAGAGGAAUACCAAAGGCGUAGGCAGGUCACUGGACAGUUACUGACACUGAGGCACGAAGGCCAGGGGAGCGAACGGGAUUAGAAACCCGAGUAGUCC